GUAGUAGUGGUGUAGUAGGUACGACAAAACGAAAGAGUGGGGAGAGUUGCACCAACACAUAGAAACGGACGAUGCCACUCGAGUGGCAUCGAAUAUCCCCGCUCCGUCGUACGCGGCAGUCCGACGCCGGUCGCGCAGCUAGCAUGGCUGGAUUUUCUCGCAGUUUUUCGCCGGUUCUCCCGUGGUAAAGAGAGACGGAGACACGGAGACGGAGAGAAAGAAAGAGCUAGAUAGACGAGACACGUAGCAGCAGCAGCAGCACGGAAACUCGUUGCAUUCAACAAAACGCAUUCCUUUGGUUUCGUCCUAUUCAGUCGUACGUCUUUUCUCGUAGGAUACGAGACCUUUGCUUUUCGUUCUAUCGUUCGAGAUAAGCACAAAGCAGAGAGAGAGAGAGAGAGAGAGAGAGAGAGAGAGAGAAAGAGAGGGGGAGAGGGAGAGAGAAAGAGAUAGAGAGACAGAGCGAGAGAAGGAAAAGGAGGGAGCAUAGGCGAUCGCGAGUCGACGUGAGCCAGAACGGACGCCAGAUGCUCGAACAUAACCUCAAAAUUGAAACACUCGAUAGAAGGUACAUCAUCCUUCGUAGAUCGUCGUAAAUUCGAUUAAUUCGUACUUACGUCGAAUAGGUUAGAUGAUCGUCCAUCUCCCUUUACGAAGCGACACGUGCUCCUUCUGCGUGCGUUCCAGCCAAUCGUUGUCUUCUUGCUCGAGUUGGUGUACGUCGUCGUCGUCGUCGCCGUCAUCGUCGUUGUCGUUUAUCCUUCUCGCGCGUGUGUUCUCCUCGUAGUCUCAUCGUCUCGUAGUGUCAAAGAAAGAAAAUAUAUAAAGGAGAAAGAGAGAUGAGUGACAGUCGCGUCGAAUCGCGUGGAUGAAAGUCUCGAAGAGUAGACAGUAAGAAGUAAGGAAGACAAAUUGAAAGAGAGAGAGAGAGAGAGAGAAAGCAAGCAAGCGCGAAACAAAAAGAAAGAGAGAGAGUGCGUUGUGUUGUUGGAAGUGAUCGAAGAGGAAAUAAAAGAUUCGAAAAGAAGAAGAGAUAAAUAAAUAAAUAAAGAAAGAAAGAGAGGGAAAGAGAGAAGAAAGUCACGAAAAUCGACUGUGAUCGUCCUUCCUCCUCUACAUCCACAUUCACAUCCACAUCCAGUACCUCCUUCCUUGUCGUUCGUCGUUGGAACGGUAAAUCUCUGAUGUCCGGAUAGUAGAAGAGGAACUUUUUAAAAGAACUCGUUCGUGUGCACGACGACGUAUCACCGACCGACCGAUCGACCAUUCGACGUCCUACUGACGUCCUCCUCGUCGUGUCUCUCUUUAUUUCCAAACGAGCUGUCUUUGUACGAAACUAUGAAAGACGUGCGACGGUCAAAUAAGAGAGAAGAAGUGAAAAGAGAAUGGAAUAGAAGAGAAGAGAAAAGAAGAGAAGUGAAGAUCACGGAUCGAAGAAGCUCGGAUCGAUAGGUGGACGUCGUGAUAUCGUGAUAUCGAGCCGAUCGACGUUCUCUCGAAUGGGCUAAGAGCCGAAAAUCGUUACUCCCUGGAAACGCCGAGGCUCUACAUCGCCCCUAAUUGACAGGA